UACGUAGGGUGCGAGCGUUAAUCGGAAUUACUGGGCGUAAAGCGUGCGCAGGCGGUUUUGUAAGCCAGAUGUGAAAGCCCCGGGCUUAACCUGGGAACUGCAUUUGUGACUGCACGGCUGGAGUGCGGCAGAGGGGGAUGGAAUUCCGCGUGUAGCAGUGAAAUGCGUAGAUAUGCGGAGGAACACCGAUGGCGAAGGCAAUCCCCUGGGCCUGCACUGACGCUCAUGCACGAAAGCGUGGGGAGCAAACAGG
rnacentral:rRNA from 1 species